AUCUAUGGCCAUACCACCCUGAACAUGCCUGAUCUCCUCUGAUCUCAGAAGCUAAACAGGGUCGGACCUGGUUAGUACUUGGAUGGGAGAACUGUACCCCUCUUAUC
rnacentral:rRNA from 1 species